rnacentral:lncRNA from 1 species
UAUUAAUGGAUUAAUAUUACUUCUAUAUAUACAUAUAUACAUACAAACAUACACACAAUUUUUAAAAAGAGAAUUAAAGUAGAGCUGGGGCAAUUGUGGAACACACCUUCAACCUCAGGCAGAUUUCUGCGUUCAAGGUCACCCUGACUUACAAGUCAGCUAGGGCUAGAGAAAUCAUAUAUCAGAAAAAAAACGAAAAAAAUAAUAGAAAGACAGAAAGACAGACAGACAGACAGAAAGAAAGAAAGAGAGAGAGAGAAAGAGAGAGAGAGA